AAGUUCUUACUCGACUCUCCCCACACUCAGGUUCCACAACAAAUACAGGUAUAGUAGGGUUUGGGUGUCCUUUGACAACAUAAGCAUCCACUUCCCAUCUGUCUGCUAGCUUAUGUUUACCUUCAAAGGCAAGAGUUCUCACUAGCACUCUAUCACCAAUAUGUACAGCUGCUCCUCUUGCUCUUUGAUCAUAGUUCUGUUUUUGUUUUCCUUUAGACUUUUGAGUGAUAUUAGUGGCUAGCUCAUAGGAUUUCUUCAAUCUGUCACGAAGAGAGUUUGUGUAGGAUUGUAAUGACUGGCUUGUGUGAUCCCGGUCAAUUCCAAAUGCAAGGUCUAUCGGCAAUCGUGGAUGACGUCCAAACAUCAAAUAAAACGGAGAAUACCCAGUAGUUUCAUGUUUGGUACAAUUGUAGGCAUGAACUAGAGGAGACACGUGCAUUUUCCAAUCCUUCUUUUGGUCAGGUUGAAGAGUUCCAAGCAUGUUCAAAAGUGUUCGGUUGAAGCGCUCCGUCUGACCAUUACCCAUGGGAUGGUACGGUGUUGUUCUUGACUUUUUCAUUCCGGUAAUUGUACAAAGUUCUUCUAUCAGACGACUUUCAAAGUUGACACCUUGAUCUGAAUGGAUUCUUGCUGGUAAACCAUAAUGUACCACGAAAUGGUUCAGAAAUGCUUCAGCUGUUGUACGAGCAGCCAUAUUUCUAAAAAAUCUGGUUUAUUGCGAUAACAGAUUCGCCGUUGGUAUUUGCUUUACGUAAAAAAGCAUUUUCUCUAUUCUUUCUUGUCAAACAUCAUUUCUUCGACAACCUUCUCACAUGUAUCUGUAUUUUUAAAGACAACGACCAAUUCUCUAAGAAAUGGGUUUUUUUUUGUGGCGAUUUCUGAAAUUACAUUUUACUCCACACUUCUCAUUUCGUCACACAUGACACUGCAGUUUUUCAAACUAAGUAACAACCCUCGGUCUGAAUUCUGAAUUAACAGCAUGUCUACAGUCAAACUAAACAUCGUAUAUAUUAUGAUAUAUCGUUACAAGUGCGAGGUCCACAUCCCCUGUUUAUUAAUAACUAACUAUAUAUGCACGGUUUGUACAGGUAAUCUGCAAUAUCAGUAAGGUAGUCUUUUAAAGCAGGCUUCGGGAUGGAGUAUAUUAAGAGAGGAUAUCGUAAUUAUUGUCUGUUAUUGGAAUAUCAUGUAUAAGUGAUCAAUAUUGAUCGUAACACAUACAUGAUUUUAUCUGGAUGACAGACUUCACACAACCACAAAUCAAAGCACGGCUAUUCAGCGAAUAUGUUCGCAGAAUACAUUUAAUUUGGUUGACUUGAUAUCUGUAAUGUAUUCUUUCUGCUUCAAAAGCCAUACGGAGUUUCAGUAGGCCCCGUCGCAUAAGGCACGUCAUUCAUGUGGCCGUAGGGUCCUAUAUCGGUUCGCCCCGAUUAUCAUUAAAGUUAUAAACGUCUCAGACGUCCAGUGUGGUUUACCGGCCUCAUCAAGCUGACAAUCCGUGAUACAAACUGGGAUCCUGUUCAAAGUGAAGUUACACCAAACUCACUCGCUUGCUCCAUCACACCACAAUAAAUCCACAGGCAGGUUCUGUUCAUGUUGAAUCUUAGACAUCGGGUAGAAACACAGUGCGGUGACAGAUGUUUCAAAAAUUGAGAGUCGCUUGAUAUAUGUCAUAUAUUCUCAGAGUACAAUCUUGUGUUCGGUUACUAGACUAAUUUAUCGUAAUAUGUCACAUGUUAAGAAACUACAUUCAUAUCUAUGCGUCAAAUCAUUCAGUGCCACACAACAAAGAUGGCUGUUACACUGUUACCUGUACAAACGUACUGCUCUUACUUUUUCAACAAAACACCAAAACAAAAUACAACCUAUGCAUACGGCAACAAUGGUAUUGUAGUAUAUUUACCUGUCUUAUUUUUCACUUUUUUCGAAAACUCAAAAUUGAAACAGUGGCCCAUGGGCGAAACUAUUUACGCUUCCUCACAAUUCAUGUUUUGGAUGUAAAUAAGUAUCAUGACACAACAUUCAACUCAUUUAAACUUGAUUUAGCUA
rnacentral:lncRNA from 1 species